rnacentral:lncRNA from 1 species
CGUCGAAUAAGCUAAAAGGGAGAGGGGGAGGUACUUCUUAGAAGUAUGUGCUAACACUGACUCUGAGGGGAAUUGAGGAAGGGAACUUUUGAAUGAAAUAUGCUGACUGAGGAAGCAGCUGAGCUUCCUAUUUGAGGGUCUUCAGAGAGACACUGGCUGACUGCUAGUGGGAGAUUUUAGCAGGAUCGCUGGUCAAGUAUAAGAUGUACUAGAUGGCUUCUGAAGUCCUGUUAAGUAUGGUCUUCAGAAGUUCCUGGAAGUGCCCACCGUUCAUAAAACUGAAGAAGAGGGAGACCUAGCAGUGAGCUCCACAGAGCUUAGAAGGCAGACUACAUGAAGAUAGAAGGGAUGAUUCCCCAAAGAGGUCUCUACAUAUUUGCACACAAAUCUACAACUUGGAAGUCUGCCAAAAGCAGGUUAUGACCCCAGCUUGUGUUCAGUUCUUGGAUUCCUCCUUAUCCUUUGGAUUCCUCUGAAGUGAAACUGACCGGGAAAUCAUCCAGGGAGACUGACAGUACCCCAAAGCCAGACUCUUCAAAAGGAGCAUCACAGGACAUAAAACAGCAGUGUGAAGUCCAAUUCAGAGGUUUCAUUCCGGCCAGGAAACAAAAGCAAGAUCCCGGGGGGGGCCGUGUGGCCAGACCUUCGCCUCCCAAAUUGCACAAUGGAAACCUUGGGUGGAGAUGA